AUCUUAGGUAUGACCCCAGAGGUUAACGUGAGGUUACAAAUAUGAGUAAGAGCACCAGCGAUAAGUGGUGCAGCUCUAACCAGCAACCCUGGGCCAAGUUUGUCAGCCCCUGUUGCUUUCAUAGUGUCUAUGGCUAAGGCAUCAAUAACUUUCUCCUCUGUGAAGAGGCUUAGUGAGAAAUCUUGACCAUCAGCAUACUUCAUGCAUAAUCCCUUCAUGUGUAUAUUUUCUUCCUUCAUUUGUGGUCGACAUUUUCUCAAAAAGAUUGCCCGCUACAAUGAAGUGAUUGUUGAAGGCAUUGGCAAUGGCGUUCUUAUCAGUAAUGAGUCCAGUAUCCAACCCUAUCUGAUUUGGGAGUGUGGAGUGCAUAUUGUUCUUUAAUGUUUUAAGUACUUUCCAGAAUUUGGCUGGAUUCCCAUAACAGUCAUUUAAACUAAUCACAUAGUAAUCCGAUUUUGUUCUUCUAACAAGUCUGAUGCACAGGUUUCUCAGCUGCCUAAAAGUCUGCCAGUCAGAGCUAGAAGAAGUUUCUCUAGCCUUAGCCCAACGUGCAACACAACUGUUGUUGUGUCAGGAAUCUGCUUCUUGACUACUGGUAAAAUUCCUUAUUAAAUCAGUGACUUUAGCACCUGGAAAACCAAAUGUGCGUGUAUCUUGGAUUGACACUUGCUUUACCAUUGAGCUCCCGAUUAAAACGGUAGCUAGCCGUUUACCAUUAUUAUUUUCUUCCAAAGCCUUUUGUACAGCUCCAUUUUUAUUCUUGGUUUUUCCAACUCGGCCACCACAGAUCACACUCAUUGCUUCCGUCGCUGUAGAGGGUUGAGAUAAUGCCAGCGAGGACCUCUGAGUCCCACGCCGUACCGCUUGGUCCACAAAGGAGCCGCUAGCUGUAGCCUCUGGAGAAGAACCAGCAUCCCCUUUCUGCAAUGGCCAAUCCAAUGACGAUAGUCUGCCUGAUGGCGAGACUCCCCUCAGCUUGGUGUUGUUUGCUGCCAAUGGAGUGGAGAACGAGAAGGGUUUGUGGAUGUUGAAAACACSCACCUUAUUUAAGAGGACUCCAGGGGGUGCAAAGAAGUUUGUGGUGCCCUCGAGAACCUGGUCGAGUCCUCAACAGUUUAAACAGCUUCUCAUGGUGGUUGUCAUAGAUAGCUCAUGGACAUCAGUGAAACAUUUCCCAACACAGAAAUAGAGUUCCUGAAAGAGGCCCUCAACCAACCAGGAGGCUGUUUCCAGGCAAUAUGUGUCCCGGAUGGAGCAGAAUGGUGAAGGCAGAUGGUGCAUUGAAGUCUGCUUCAGAUGGCCCAGGCCAGACCUGGGGACCUGCUGCUCAUCUCUGCUAGUAUGCAGGAAUGUGUGCGCCCUUUGUUGGGAAAGUUGAGGCUUCAGUGUGCUGAACUCCUAGAAGGCUCAGGCAUGGCUGUUCGAAACCCCUCAGUGUUUUACUCCCUGUGGGUGGUAGACUUCCCACUGUUCCUGCCAAAAGAAGACGACCCUGGGCAGCUUGAUUCAGCCCACCAUCCAUUCACCGCACCUCUCCCUGAGGAUACCCACCUCUUCUACUACCAGCCUCAGUGUCUCCUUGGGCACAUAUUUAUAGAGAGACGAAACCCUCUCAACAGUGUUGACUGACCUUAUGAAGCUUGUUUCUGUGCCCUUGCUUGCUGUUUUGUACAAAUAAACUCUUUGAAAUGUG